rnacentral:rRNA from 1 species
AUACGGGGGGGGCAAGCGUUGUCCGGAAUCAUUGGGCGUAAAGGGCGCGUAGGCGGAAUGGUAAGUCAGGGGUGAAAAUUCUGAGCUUAACUCAGUACCUGCCCUUGAUACUGCUAUUCUUGAGUUCGAGAGGGGAAAGUGGAAUUCCCGGUGUAGCGGUGAAAUGCGUAGAUAUCGGGAAGAACACCAGUAGCGAAGGCGGCUUUCUGGCUCGUAACUGACGCUGAGGCGCGAAAGCGUGGGGAGCAAACAGGAUUAGAAACCCCAGUAGUCC